rnacentral:misc_RNA from 1 species
CCGAGCGAGGGCCUCCGGGCUCGACCUCCAACCCUUUGUCGUUACAAUCUCUGUUGCCUUGGGGGCGACCCGGCCUCCGCGUCGGGGCCCCCAGAGGACCUCAAACUCAGCGUCCUUGCGUCGGAGUCAACAGCAAAUCAAUCA